rnacentral:Y_RNA from 1 species
GGCUGGUCCAGGUGCAGUGAUGUUUACAGCUAAUUGAUCACAGCCAGUUACAGAUUUCUUUGUUCCUUCUCCAUUCCCAUUGCUUCACUUGACUAGCCUAAA